rnacentral:rRNA from 1 species
GACGAACGCUGGCGGCGCGCUUAACACAUGCAAGUCGAACGGAAAGGCCUGCUUUCCCUUGUGGAUUGCGGGUACUCGAGUGGCGAACGGGUGAGUAACACGUGAGUGAUCUGCCCCCAACUUGGGUAUAAGCCUGGGAAACUGGGUCUAAUUCCCGAUAGGACUGCAGGGUGGUGCCUGUGGUGGAAAACGAUUUUCUAGUGGUUGGGGAUGAGCUCGCGGCCUAUCAGCUUGUUGGUGGGGUAAUGGGCUACCAAGGCGGCGACGGGUAGCCGGCCUGGGAGGGUGGACGGCCACAUUGGGACUGAGAUACGGCCCAGACUCCUACGGGAGGCAGCAGUGGGGAAUAUUGCACAAUGGGCGGAAGCCUGAUGCAGCGACGCCGCGUGGGGGAUGACGGCCUUCGGGUUGUAAACUCCUUUCGACCGCGAGGAAGCCACCUGGUUGGAAGGGUGGUGACGGUAGUGGUAGAAGAAGCACCGGCUAACUACGUG